rnacentral:lncRNA from 1 species
GUUUAGAAUUUAGGGUAUAGGGUUUAGAAUUUAAGAUUUAGGGUUUAGGGUUUCGCUGGAAGCGUUAGCGUUUAAAAUUAGCGUUUUUAUUUUUUUGUAGCUAUUUAUUGUUUAAUUUAAUAUUUUUUAAUUAAUAGUUUAUGUGGAAAAUUGAUUGGUAAUAAAGGGUAGGGUGAACCUUUAAAUUCACCCCAUCAUUUAUUACCAAUCAAUUUUCCACAUAAACUAUUAAUUAAAAAAUAUUAAAUUAAACAAUAAAUAGCUACAAAAAAUAAAAACGC